rnacentral:rRNA from 1 species
AUCAGCCUUUUGGGUGUGAUUUUGUGGAACGUGAGGAGUUAAACGCCUUCAUGCCUGCAUAUUCGUGCACUUUGGGUGUACUUGCCCGUGUGGUUGGUUAACAUCAAUUUUGGUUAUCAUAAAAUGACUGGAGGAAUGUAGCUUCGAUCUCGUAUUGAAGUGUUAUAGCCUUCGGUAGAUGUGAUGAUCGAGAUUGAGGAUUGCAACGGAUACCCUUCGGGGCUACCUGUCUGGUCUCUGAUCGUUGCUCUGGUGCCGAAAGCUUGCUUACGGUUAUCAAAGUCGAUGGUCAAUAGGUUAGAACGGGUUAAAUUCGUUAAGGAUGUUGACGUAAUGGCUUU